GUUCCUUCUCCCUAGCCCAAGGAGUGCUGAAACACAAAGAAUGCCUAGGCAGAGCAGAAGGUGGUUGGGUAGCGUGAAUGCACAGAAGCAACUCUUGAAGACCACCACUUACCAAGUCUUUUUUUGAAGGAAGGCGACUGGGCUCGUUUGAGUUGACCAGGAGAACUUGAAUGGCUGGUUUUGAGAGGAACCCAUGUUUCUCCAGAAUGUUUUGAACUGAAGCCUAAUUGGAUGAAUAAAACAACAAGUAAAUGGACCAUUCCUCCCAUCACUCCCCUUUUGAGGUCUCAAAAAAAAUUUUUUAGGGAAAAACAUGGAUGAAGGCUACUACAAUAUGGGCUAACUAAAAGACAAAUGAAGGGGAAGAAGAGGGCUUCACUAUCAUAGCUGUUACCCUCACCAUCUCCUGGGAUGCUGGACCUUCUUCAUCCUGAAUCUGAAUGAUGUGCUGACCAGACCAGACCAGACCAAAGAGAGAAAGAAAAUGGGAUUGGACUUUAACAGCAAUAAUAGGAGUUCCAGCACACCUCAAGUAACUUCAUCUCUUUCCCCCCAAAAGGACUGUUGCUAUCAUCUUUAAAAUUAGCUUUAAAAAAAACACAACAACAAAAAAGACCCCACUGUCAAACAAGAGUUUUCUCCUUCUAAAAGCUCUCUCCAGCUAAAAGAAAAGGGAACAAGGGGAAUAGUUAAAAUAAAAGCCUUAUUUAGUACUCUACAUUAAACACAUGUUCCAACUGAUUUUCCUUCUUUUCUGUAUCUUUAAUCAAAAGUUAAGAUUUAUAAUGGCGUUUUUGCCAUCAUACUAAGCAGGCUAAAGUCUCUGUAUACCAAACAGCGAACCUUGUUUAAAACUGUUUAAUGUUGGAGAGUGGACUGGGUCACGUUAACACUUUUGACUCUUUGGGCCUAUAUAUUCCAUCUAAAUGAAUACAGUUCUCAAGACCAAAGACUGAAGCCUGUCUCGUUUUGCAUUCCUCACCUCCCACAUACUGGUAGAAGCAGCAUUUGUUUUAGCAGAUUCUUUGUCUUAAGUAGAAUUCUCCUCUAUUAGAGUGGGACAAAAUGAUGUAGAUCAGUUCUCCUGCAGGGUAACGAGCCCACAGGGCAAAGACACUUCUAUUGUUGUGGCAUACUUAAUUUUGUUGUUUAAACUUCAAGUACUUAUUGUCUUAGAUAUUACAAUCUAACUUCCUUAAAUAGUGGAAAUUCAUGAAAAAAGUAAAGUUUAAAGAGCAAAUGAUUCGUAACCUCUGAAAAAUACAUUUGCUCAGGCUUGCAUCUCCUCCCCCGCUCAUAGCACCUUUCAGCACAAAAUACUCACAUUAAGGAAGUAUGCCAAUUUUAUAGAUGAGUAAACUGAGGUACACAAAUCCUAAGGUCACACAGUGACUUAUUGACCAAGCUGGGAACAGAAUUGGAGCCCUGAUCCAGCAAAACACUUAAGCAUAUGAGUAGUCCCCAUUAAUUUCAGUUGCAUAUAUAUCUAAUUGCAUUGAUGGAUCAAAGGCUACGAGUUCUGAUUCUCAGGGUAUGUCUACACUGCAGUUAGACACUCAUGGCUGGCUUGUGACAGCCUCAGGCUCACAGGACUCGGGCUGCAGGGCUGUUUAACUGCAAUGUAGACAUGCAGGCUUAGGCUGCA